CAGCCGCCGCGGGAAUACGUAGGUGGCAAGCGUUGUCCGGAAUUAUUGGGCGUAAAGGGCUCGCAGGCGGUUUCUUAAGUCUGAUGUGAAAGCCCCCGGCUCAACCGGGGAGGGUCAUUGGAAACUGGGAAACUUGAGUGCAGAAGAGGAGAGUGGAAUUCCACGUGUAGCGGUGAAAUGCGUAGAGAUGUGGAGGAACACCAGUGGCGAAGGCGGCUCUCUGGUCUGUAACUGACGCUGAGGAGCGAAAGCGUGGGGAGCGAACAGGAUUAGAUACCCGUGUAGUCCCUGUCUCUUAUAC
rnacentral:rRNA from 1 species